UAACUGAAGAGUUUGAUCAUGGCUCAGAUUGAACGCUGGCGGCAGGCUUAACACAUGCAAGUCGAGCGGGGGAAGGUAGCUUGCUACUGGACCUAGCGGCGG
rnacentral:rRNA from 1 species